GACGAACGCUGGCGGCGUGCUUAACACAUGCAAGUCGAACGAAGAGCGAUGGAAGCUUGCUUCUAUCAAUCUUAGUGGCGAACGGGUGAGUAACGCGUAAUCAACCUGCCCUUCAGAGGGGGACAACAGUUGGAAACGACUGCUAAUACCGCAUACGAUCUAAUCUCGGCAUCGAGGAUAGCUGAAAGGUGGCCUCUACAUGUAAGCUAUCACUGAAGGAGGGGAUUGCGUCGGAUUAGCUAGUUGGAGGGGUAACGGCCCACCAAGGCGAUGAUCAGUAGCCGGUCUGAGAGGAUGAACGGCCACAUUGGGACUGGGACACGGCCCAGACUCCUACGGGAGGCAGCAGUGGGGAAUCUUCCGCAAUGGACGAAAGUCUGACGGAGCAACGCCGCGGGAGUGAUGACGGCCUUCGGGUUGUAAAGCUCUGUUAAUCGGGACGAAAGGCCUUCUUGCGAAUAGUGAGAAGGAUUGACGGUACCGGAAGAGAAAGCCACGGCUAACUACGUG
rnacentral:rRNA from 1 species